CCUUAUUCUCCAUAACUUUCACCAGAAGCAAUAAAAUGCUUACCCUCCCCAACACAAUGUGAAUGAUCAGAUGAAUGUACAUAUGAAGACAACUCAUUGAGAAAACAACUAUCGUAUCACAAAAAACAACUAUGUUAUCAGCAACGUUUAUAACCUCUACCUAAUUUGAUUUAAAUUAUCUGUGUUCUAUGCCUCAUCUGUGUAGUUUGCAAACAGGCUAUGUCGUGAGAAACCAGAUUAAUCACUUCUGUUUGCUGCUGCUGCUGAAGAAAAGCCACAAAUAGGUGACUCACAAUGUUCCUGUGUGAGUCAUCUGAAACAUCACAUUCUUUGGUCUCCAGUUCUGCAGAUCCGUGUUAAUAUCCAUCGGGGUUGUCGUGCUAAUUAAAUGAGCUUUUUGUUUUCUUGCCCUCUUUCUAGUCUUUUAAUACUCAUCAGCCUCGCUGAUGGCAAGGUCUGUGUAUCUACCUGCCUGACCUUGUUUAUCUGAAACGUGAUGCUGGUUUCCCCUGAGGUUCACCUGACCCAGUCUCCAAUGGGAAUAUCUGAGUCAGGCAUUCAGGGAUUCCUGAUAUGGCAGCCAGAAGAAACAGGUGCAUUUAAGGAUGCUUCUGCAAAGCAAACAAACCAACAAGCAGAAGAGUUCAAACCCCUGAUGAAAAGAGUUAUGAUGUUUGUAUGUGAUGAUAAGACCAGAAGCCAGACUGAUAUCCAUAAAGCCCUACCAGCAAAGCUUGCUGCCUUGUGUUCAGAGGUGCACAGCAAUCCUCUGGUGGCAACAGGGGACACCAGCACAGAAAAACCUUGUGGCAGGUGCCAGGAGGGUGGGGAAGAGAACCUGCAGCUGAGAGAUGCUACAGUGUCCCACAACUGCACUAGGAGUAAGGGUUUGCUGAGGAGAGAGCAGAAAAAUGCAGAAGCCAGGAGUCUUCUGGAGCCAGACAGGUUGUAUCUCCUUUUCUCUUGAGAUGAAAUAACAUUAAGGAAGAAGAGUGAAGUCUGGAAAGGGGAGCUUAAAGCAGCUGUAGUGAAUGACGUCUUUACUACUUUUCUUUAUGACUCUUAAUCUUUCUCUCCUCCCCUUCGAGACAGAGCGGAUGAGUUGCCUUCAAUUUCAAGAUUGUGCACUGGCAAAAAAUAUUAAAAUGUUUUUCAUUAGGAAGAGAGUGUUUAGAAAUGGAC
rnacentral:lncRNA from 1 species